rnacentral:rRNA from 1 species
UACAGAGGUCCCAAGCGUUGUUCGGAUUCAUUGGGCGUAAAGGGUGUGUAGGUGGCGCCGUAAGUCGGGUGUGAAAUCUCGGGGCUUAACUCCGAAACUGCAUUCGAUACUGCGGUGCUUGAGGACUGGAGAGGAGACUGGAAUUCAUGGUGUAGCAGUGAAAUGCGUAGAGAUCGUGAGGAAGACCCGUGGCGAAGGCGGAUCUCUGGACGGCUAACUGACGCUGAGGCGCGAAGGCCAGGGGAGCAAACGGG